AAGUAAGAAGUAAAAUUUACAUUUAGUUUCGACCUAAAAAUUUGGUUAAAUAACCCUUACUUA
rnacentral:tRNA from 1 species